rnacentral:lncRNA from 1 species
GGCCAGGGAGUCGGAUUUCUGCUGGAUUUAGAAAAGCAUCUCUGAGUGCAUGACAGGAGCCCAAUGGGUUGGUGACACUACUGCAGCUCUUGGAGGAUCCCCACCCAGCCACCUGCCCCAGCCAGGAGCAUGGCUUUGGGAGGAAGAAGGCAGGCAGCAGAGAGAGCUUGCAGAUAAUGUCAAGAGGUACCCAGGUCCUCCGGAGUGUCCAAAAUACGUAAUUAACUUCUAAUUUUCCUCUCUAUAAGAUUUGAUACAUACGAUGGCCUUAUUACAAGACAAACACCAGGUCAGAGCAAAGAUCAAACCUGGUAAGGCUGAAUUCCCUCCAUCCGUUCAAGUAGAUAACGUCUCUCAAACUUUGAGUCAAAAGAAUCACCCCCAUUGUCCCACUUCCUCCCCCGUGCCCCCUUCUUGGCCCCCUCUGGCCUCCCCUGCCCUUUGCCUAAGCUCCUGGUCUUCCCUUUCCAACUCUUUCCCUUCUUGUUCUCCCUCCUUUCUUUCUUUCUGAGGAGUAGGGGCUUACUUCCUCUAAAGCCUGCUCUGAGGAGUCAACCCUGUUUGCAUAAAAUAAAAGUUAGAAAACUGAAAGUUUCAUGAACCUAGGGCCGAGGGGAGAGUCAUGAAUUUUACUGCACAGUCCAUCGUCCGUAAGUUCACGCUAUCGGCAGAGAACUUGGCACAGUUUUUCUGAGUAAUCCCUCAUCCACCCACGUCUCAUGUUGGUAAACUAUGUACUCAAGAGGAGUUGGCAGGAACUGUCAGAGGACUAAAAAUUAUAAAUUAAAUGUAAAAAUCCGUCUGCAGUUACAGGUAAGUAUUUUCACCAUUAGAGAAAUGUGCUAUUUUGCCAUUAUAAAUGAUUCUGUAAUUUGGCUUUUCACCAUUAUUUAGAGGUCUUUAUAGGAUUAUGAGCAAUGUUUCAUUUUCUGACAAAAAGAAAAUUAGCAUCCUGAAGAUGAACUGUUGCUGGAGUUAGGGCAAGGAUAAUAGCAGUUUAGGUUCCUGAACAUGAGCAGAUAGAAAAUCAAUCCAAAUAAACCAGCAGAAGGAAGACAAAUUGGAGCCACGCAAGAUGAUGUAACGAUGAAAUGCAUUCAUGAAAACAGCCAUGAGGUUAAUUUACUUAACACUCUCUUUCAUCCACGGGAGUCAGCAGAUUAUCCCAAGGUGAAGGAAAGGGAUAGGUGUAACCUUGUAAGAGGAG